rnacentral:lncRNA from 1 species
UUCAUUUCUCACAAAUUCAAUCAACAUUUCGCAAGAAAGAGGAGUUUCAAGUGCUGAGCUAAUUCCAGCCUCCACCAAAUUUCAAGCAACCAAACAUCAGCAAGUUUUCCAAAGGUUUUUAACUUUUAAAUUUCUGUAACUUCAGUUCUAAUUUCAGCUAUAACACACAUCUCGAUAUAUAUACACAUAUAUUUCAAAUGAAACCAAAAUGCCGUACAUGAAUAACAGCUGCAUAUGUGUAUAUUUUGUGUAUAGCAGAACAAAGAUUUCAAAAGGAAUGACAACUUCACAAAUAGUUUUAAAGAAAAGAACUUUGACUUGAAUAAUCUGGAUUUUAGCUUUUGAACUCUAUUUUGUGAUGCUUGAGUCGAACUGAGUCGGUGGGUACCGAGUUGAGUCGGAUGGGUGUUGUUGUAGCUGCUGAGCCGAGUCAGGGAAGGUGGGCAACAGCCUCAGGGCUUUGUUUUAUCACCGGAGUUCAGAGGGAAGAGAUGGAGGGAGACCGGGCGUCGACUGUGGUGGCACGGCUGCUGCUGUAGUCUGUCCGGCGAGGCUUUGAGAUGAGGGAGAACGGAUGGAGGCAGCGCUGCGUAGGGGCGGCGUCGUUGCCAGAAAUUGAGAGGAGCCGUGAUUGGGGCUAGGGCUCAGACGGCGGAGUCCCUCACCGUCGCCGUUCUGGGUCAGAGAGGAGGCGAGAGCAGAGGGGUAAGGGAGAUGAGGCGGUGACCGUGGCGGCGGUUGCUGCCGCCGAGAAAGAGAGGGAUAUGGGGCGCCGGUGUGGCCGGAGAUGAGGGAGAAGAUGAAGGGAGUCGGGUGAGGGGCGGCGUGUGUUGGUCCGUGUGUGUGUGGCCGACCUUGAGUGAAAUAGAGUCGAGGGAGUCGGGAGAGGAGUGGCUGGCGGCGUUCGUCGCCGGAGGAGGAGCCGUGGCGGCGAGGUUUUGAGAGAAGGCCGGAUUCAGUAAGGUUUGAGAGAGAUUAGAGAGAGGGCGAGUUUUGGUGCUCAGAGAGAUUGAAACCUUUCUUGUGAGUUGUGAGUGUGAAGCGGAAGAAGAGGAAUAGGGUUGGGGUGUUGGGCCAUCUGUUUUGGGACGGAAUUAUUAAAGUUUGGGCUGCAGAAUUAAUUUGUGUUUGGGCCACACCAUUUUAAUUAAACUCUUGGGUCUGAAUCAUUUUAAAGAAUGUGGGCUGCCCUAUUUAUUUUACUUGGGUGAAUCUGCGUUUAAAUUAUUGGGCUGCCAAUUAAUUUCUUUAAUUAGAUUAUUGAUUUAGGCCUAAAUUUAUUAUUUAAUUAGACUAUUAAUUAGUUUAAUUAUUUAUGUUAAAGAAUGAAUUGCAUAAUAAUAUUAUUAUGUACAUAUAUGGUGUAAUUACUUAUUAUAUGAUUAAGCAUGAAAUGAUUUGCAUUAAGUAUUUGUGCAAUAAGAGUAUUUAUGAUUUAAAUUGGUUUUUCAUAAAUCCAAUCAUCAAAGAAAAUCGAACAAGGAUAUUGUUGGUGUCCUUAGCUCAGGAUUUAAAUUUUCAAGUAUUUAUGAUUAAAUUUUGAAAACCCGACUUGGUGAAUCAUAAAAUGUUAAGCACUUCACUAUGACUUAAGAUUACAUUCGAGAGACCUAUUAAGAAUAGAUUUCUUGUAGGCUUUGUGGUUCAGGAGAAUUAGCGUCGCUAUUCCGAUUCAGAGUUAUGAGUAAAACUGCAGGCAUUGCCUAAUCAGGUGGGCUUACUUUCCAAAUGUAUAAAGUAUGAAUGAGUUAUUAAGCUCUAAAUGUUUCAAUGAAAUGCAAAUUGUUUAUUCAAUUAAAUGCAAACUGUUUAUCCGAUAAAAUGUUUAUGUGCACUCUGCUCUGUUUAAGGCUCGCCACAACGAAUCGUUCGAGGUUCUCUUAUGGCCUAACACGUUAUUUGAGAAUUAUGUACACUCGUUAGCUGACCUGGUGGGUUGAUCUCCAUCGGGUACUAACUAAGAGACGUUAUAAGAGUGCUUGUUGGAUGUGUUCCGGAGCAUGUAAUGUAAGGCCUGUCUGGGUAGCGUCCCGAGGUCAAAUGAAACUUGUCUGGGUUACGCCCUUGUCUGGGUCAAAAGUCUUGGGUUCGAAUCCCUUGUGGUGGGGCCUUUAAAUUUCUUUAUUUAAUAUUGUUAAUUUAUCAAAAAAUAAAUGCGAAAUUGGGAAGCACAAAAACCUUGUUCUGCAUAUAGAAAAAGGGAUAACGAAACUGAAGGUUCAAUAAGGCCAGGCAGCUCAUGAAUCACAAGAUUGAAUAAUGAUUUGUGAACAAAAUUGGAGUGACUAAAACAUCAAACUCGCAACCAUACAUUGAUCCACCAAAAUGUUUAGUAGGAAACGAUUUGAAAUCGGCAGAAUUACCUCUUCAAUCAUCAUUUGAAAUGUUCACCAUCCCUACACGCUCAUCUUCUGGCAAAACUGACCAAUUAGGAGAUUGCAGUGCCCUCAACCAUCGAAAAUCAUCCACAUUCCGCCCAAUUCCCAGUCUCCUCAUCAAGAUUUGCCUCUGCCAAAUCCUCCUCCAUUCCUCUGUAACUUAAGCAAUAUGGCGCAAACCUAACGCCAUUACUGUCCUCUAUUAUAGGUCUGCUCCUCACCCGAAGAUACAAGUCACAAUUCUUUGCCUUAUGAAUCCUGAUCUGGUGCGAGGCCAACACGAACAAGCACCCUUCUGCUCCCUCGAUCAAGACCGAACCCAUAACCACCCCAACAUAACCUUGCACUUCACCACAUCAUCCACAACACUGCCCUCAAACAACCCUUCAAUCUGACCUCACAAUCCCUCAAAUUCGAUAGUGUGAACUCCCCAUUUCGAGCAUCCAGCUCGCCUCUCUUGAAUUCCUUCACCAAUACCUCUUUAUCCUUGUUCCUGAACCCGGGAGCAGCGCUCAAAUCCCUAAACCCUACCUCCCCGAAUCCAGCAUUGAUCUUACUACUCUCCGGUUCAGAAACGACUUCAUUCUUCUGAUCUGGCGCUGGGGCGGCACUCUUCUUCGAUGAUUUAUUCUUGAAGGCGAAUUUCUUCUUCGGAGCGACGGCCGCGGAUGCGUCAUCUAGGGUUUGCCUGAGGUACGUGAUGGCGCUGAGGGAAUUACGUACUUCGUAGGGCGGGAGCAAGUAGGAAUUCUCCGCGACCAGCUUCUCGAGGGCGGAGAUUUCGAGGGAGAUCGCCUCCAGGUCGGUUUUUUUAGGCAGGUCCGGCUGUGUUUGGAUCCGGGAGAUUUGGGCUUCGAUUGAGAGCUUUGAUUGCGAGAACUGAGACAGGAACGAUUUUGUGGAUCCGGAUGAGUUAGGCUCAGGCUUUGCGGUGGCGCGGGACUGGUGGCGGUUGGCGAGACGCUCCAGCAUCGCCGCGUGCUUCUGCUCAAGAGCAACGGCGCUGGAAUCAUACGACGAUUGUUUUUUGUCUUCCAUUUCGCCGUGCUGGAAAGUGGUGUUCCGGCUGCAGCUCUUUUAUUUCACUGACCUGAAAUUGAAUUUUUCCAACAAUUCAACUCCAAAUUAAUGUGCCAAUUAUUCUAUUUCUAUAUAUAUUUAUAUACUAGCACUAACAUUUGUAUUUGCUCAAUGCACUAAAACGAGCUUAUAUUUCUUUUUAUAAAUUAGAAAAAAAUUAAAAAAAAAAGAAAUUGGAGAUUUAUACAUGAGGAUUCGUUAUGCUAAAUUUCACAGUCCAUAUAAGACCGACUAAGCAAGUUAUCAAAAUAAUAUAGUACUAGUAUCGCUAUCCCGUGCGAUGCACGGGAAUCGUUAUAGUUAUCUAAAAUAGUAAAAAAAAAAUUAAAAUUAAAUUACAUAAUUAAUUAAUUAAUUAAGAAUGAUUCACUUGUAAGUUGUAAAUUAUAAAAUUUAAGUAGUCAAAUCAUUCACUUGUGUUCAUCAAGCAAGAGCAAGACAAUAUGUUCGAUGCAUCGUAAAAAAUAUCUUUAUACCAUAUUCUAUAAUAAAAUAAAUAAAAUGUUAAAAUAAUAAGAGGAGAAUGAGGCUAAAAUAAUUUCUUUUAAAACUUCUCCACAACGGAGGCCUANUUAAUUAGACUAUUAAUUAGUUAUUAUUUAUGUUAAAGAAUGAAUUGCAUAAUAAUAUUAUUAUGUACAUAUAUGGUGUAAUUACUUAUUAUAUGAUUAAGCAUGAAAUGAUUUGCAUUAAGUAUUUGUGCAAUAAGAGUAUUUAUGUAUUUAAAUUGGUUUUUCAUAAAUCCAAUCAUCAAAGAAAAUCGAACAAGGAUAUUGUUGGUGUCCUUAGCUCAGGAUUUAAAUUUUCAAGUAUUUAUGAUUAAAUUUUGAAAACCCGACUUGGUGAAUCAUAAAAUGUUAAGCACUUCACUAUGACUUAAGAUUACAUUCGAGAGACCUAUUAAGAAUAGAUUUCUUGUAGGCUUUGUGGUUCAGGAGAAUUAGCGUCGCUAUUCCGAUUCAGAGUUAUGAGUAAAACUGCAGGCAUUGCCUAAUCAGGUGGGCUUACUUUCCAAAUGUAUAAAGUAUGAAUGAGUUAUUAAGCUCUAAAUGUUUCAAUGAAAUGCAAAUUGUUUAUUCAAUUAAAUGCAAACUGUUUAUCCGAUAAAAUGUUUAUGUGCACUCUGCUCUGUUUAAGGCUCGCCACAACGAAUCGUUCGAGGUUCUCUUAUGGCCUAACACGUUAUUUGAGAAUUAUGUACACUCGUUAGCUGACCUGGUGGGUUGAUCUCCAUCGGGUACUAACUAAGAGACGUUAUAAGAGUGCUUGUUGGAUGUGUUCCGGAGCAUGUAAUGUAAGGCCUGUCUGGGUAGCGUCCCGAGGUCAAAUGAAACUUGUCUGGGUUACGCCCUUGUCUGGGUCAAAAGUCUUGGGUUCGAAUCCCUUGUGGUGGGGCCUUUAAAUUUCUUUAUUUAAUAUUGUUAAUUUAUCAAAAAAUAAAUGCGAAAUUGGGAAGCACAAAAACCUUGUUCUGCAUAUAGAAAAAGGGAUAACGAAACUGAAGGUUCAAUAAGGCCAGGCAGCUCAUGAAUCACAAGAUUGAAUAAUGAUUUGUGAACAAAAUUGGAGUGACUAAAACAUCAAACUCGCAACCAUACAUUGAUCCACCAAAAUGUUUAGUAGGAAACGAUUUGAAAUCGGCAGAAUUACCUCUUCAAUCAUCAUUUGAAAUGUUCACCAUCCCUACACGCUCAUCUUCUGGCAAAACUGACCAAUUAGGAUAUUGCAGUGCCCUCAACCAUCGAAAAUCAUCCACAUUCGCCCAAUUCCCAGUCUCCUCAUCAAGAUUUGCCUCUGCCAAAUCCUCCUACAUUCCUUUGUAACUUAAGCAAUAUGGUGUAAACCUAACGCUGUUACUGUCCUCGAUUAUAGGUCUGCUCCUCACCCGAAGAUACAAGUCACAAUUCUUUGCAUUAUGAAUCCUAAUCUGGUGCGAGGCCAACACAAACACGCACCCUUCUGCUCCAUCGAUCAAGACCGAACCCAUAACCACCCCAACAUAAACCUUGCACUUCACCACAUUAUCCACAAACACUGCCCUCAAACAACCCUUCAAUCUGACCUCACAAUCCCUCAAAUUCGACAGUGUGAACUCCCCAUUUCGAGCAUCCAACUCGCCUCUCUUGAAUUCCUUCACCAAUACCUCUUUAUCCUUGUUCCUGAACCCGGGAGUAGCGCUCAAAUCCCUAAACCCUACCUCCCCGAAUCCAGCAUUGAUCUUACUACUCUCCGGUUCAGAAACGACUUCAUUCUUUUGAUCUGGCGCUGGGGCGGCACUCUUCUUCGAUGAUUUAUUCUUGAAGGCGAAUUUCUUCUUCGGAGCGACGGCCGCGGAUGCGUCAUCUAGGGUUUGCUUGAGGUACGUGAUGGCGCUGAGAGAAUUACGUACUUCGUAGGGCGGGAGCAAGUAGGAAUUCUCCGGUUCAAGCUGGGACAAGAUGUUCUCUUAUACAAUUCUAAGCUGCGUUUGUUUCCUGGCAAGCUGCAGUCAAGGUGGACGGGGCCGUAUGUGGUGCAUAAGAGCAAUUGGAAUGGAACGUAUGAGUUGUUCGCUGCUGAUGACAUUACUUUCAC